rnacentral:rRNA from 1 species
GACGAACGCUGGCGGCGUGCCUAAUACAUGCAAGUCGAGCGAGCUUGCCUAGAUGAAUUUGGUGCUUGCACCAAAUGAAACUAGAUACAAGCGAGCGGCGGACGGGUGAGUAACACGUGGGUAACCUGCCCAAGAGACUGGGAUAACACCUGGAAACAGAUGCUAAUACCGGAUAACAACACUAGACGCAUGUCUAGAGUUUAAAAGAUGGUUCUGCUAUCACUCUUGGAUGGACCUGCGGUGCAUUAGCUAGUUGGUAAGGUAACGGCUUACCAAGGCAAUGAUGCAUAGCCGAGUUGAGAGACUGAUCGGCCACAUUGGGACUGAGACACGGCCCAAACUCCUACGGGAGGCAGCAGUAGGGAAUCUUCCACAAUGGACGCAAGUCUGAUGGAGCAACGCCGCGUGAGUGAAGAAGGGUUUCGGCUCGUAAAGCUCUGUUGGUAGUGAAGAAAGAUAGAGGUAGUAGCUGGCCUUUAUUUGACG